ensembl:snRNA U6 U6 spliceosomal RNA
GUGCUCGCUUUGGCAGCACAUAUACAAAAACUGGACAAUACAGAGAAGAUUAGCAUGGCCCCUGUGCAAGGAUGACAUGCACAUCUGUGAGAUGUUCCAUAUUUUU